rnacentral:lncRNA from 1 species
UGAGGUUUAAUGGAUAUAGAGUUAUUAGAAGUUUACGUUGAUCUUUUGUAGUAACUUAAUUUUAAUUUUUAAACUUGUUCUGCAGAAUGAACAGUCUCCUUGACAGAGAGAUGGCAACACUAGAGUAGCUGUAUGGAAUCUGUGCUUAGUGUAUACAAUACCGAUUUUAGGUAAACAAUAUUAUUAUAGUGAUUUUACAUAAUUAAAAAAAUAUAAAUAGAUUAGUAUAAGUUUCUGGCACAUUUCUUAGUUGUUUAAAUAACUUUACCUCCUAGAAACAAGUGAAAAAUUCACCCAAUUUAGCUAUUGGUAAUGGCAGAUAUUGCUUCACCAUUCUUAAAAAAAAAAAAAAAAAAAGGCAAACUGCAUGCCACCCUAUGCCACCCUAUUCAUUUACUUUCAAUGUAUUUACCUGUUUUGGUGACUGUCUAAACUAGAUUGCCAAUUUAGGCAAGCCUUAUAAUAACCUAUCAAACAACCACUCGUGUUGUGCAAGCUCACUUUAUUUAGAGAAAUAUAGAACUAGAAUAUAAAUCAAAACCUUUGUAAGCUUAAACAAAAUUUUGCAAUGGUUGGUGUCUAAGAACACCUGCCCUAUGCUUUAAACUGCUUGCUCUCUGUUCAUACAGAUUAAUUUUUUCUUUGGUUUGUUUAUUAAACAAACUUCAGGAAAUCCAACAGCCACGUCAAUUUGCUUUGAGCCUGAGAAGAACAGGACAACUCAUUUUAUUGGGUUCCUAGCUGCCUGUUGAGACUAAAGCUCCUCUGAUUCUGGAGGUAGUGGAUAUGUAACAUACAUCAGAGAUGUUUGCUUUUUCUCACUGGAGAAAGCAAGGCAAUCCAAACAAAGUAUUAUAUGAAGAAAGGUGCAGUCCUCGUCUCUGUAAUGUAAUAAGUGCAGAGCACUAUGGGAAUAGUCUGAAUUGAAGAAUUACUGCCUAACAUAGUUUAAAUGAGAAAUUCAUAUUAUGUGACCUUGUCUUUCAUACUAUUCUGAGAAGAGGAGCCAAGGUCUGUUUCAAGCAAAAGAAUCAGAAUGCCAAAGAGAAACAGAAUGCACCACUUCCUUUUCCUUAUAAUGACAGUUUUAUUUCUAAAUUGUAAAAAGUAAUCUAGUGAUCAGAAGGAUGUAAAGGAAAGCGUUUCAAAUGUCCUGCUGCUGUGUAUUACUCAAGACAAUCCAUCAACAAAUUCUGCCUUGUAGCUGGCACAGUUAAACUCCCAAUGGAUAGGGGCUUAUUGAGAAGUGGUACACUGUGCAAGCGGAAAAGGUAGAUCGAUCUCAUCAGGUGAAACGGUAAGUGCUAAAUCAGAACAUCUAUGAUAUAUUAAGAAAACUUCUUGAUGUCAGCUGCAUUCUUCUGGCAGCUAAACAGGGAGGGACAUUUCCAGAAAGGAAGGAAAACCAU